rnacentral:rRNA from 1 species
CCUACGGGAGACAGCAGUGAGGAAUAUUGGUCAAUGGACGAGAGUCUGAACCAGCCAAGUAGCGUGAAGGAUGACUGCCCUAUGGGUUGUAAACUUCUUUUAUAUGGGAAUAAAAUGUUCCACGUGUGGGAUUUUGUAUGUACCAUAUGAAUAAGGAUCGGCUAACUCCGUGCCAGCAGCCGCGGUAAUACGGAGGAUCCGAGCGUUAUCCGGAUUUAUUGGGUUUAAAGGGAGCGUAGGUGGAUUGUUAAGUCAGUUGUGAAAGUUUGCGGCUCAACCGUAAAAUUGCAGUUGAAACUGGCAGUCUUGAGUGCAGAAGAGGUGGGCGGAAUUCGUGGUGUAGCGGUGAAAUGCUUAGAUAUCACGAAGAACUCCGAUUGCGAAGGCAGUUCACUGGACUGCAACUGACACUGAGGCUCGAAAGUGUGGGUAUCAAACAGGAUUAGAUACCCCAGUAGUC